rnacentral:rRNA from 1 species
UACGUAGGGUGCAAGCGUUAAUCGGAAUUACUGGGCGUAAAGCGUGCGCAGGCGGUUAUGUAAGACAGGGGUGAAAUCCCCGGGCUCAACCUGGGAAUGGCAUUUGGGACUGCAAGGCUGGAGUUUGGCAGAGGAGACUGGAAUUCCUGGUGUAGCAGUGAAAUGCGUAGAUAUCAGGAGGAAUACCGAUGGCGAAGGCAGGUCUCUGGGCUAUAACUGACGCUCAUGCACGAAAGCGUGGGGAGCAAACAGG